GGGGGUUCCUUUCAGCUGUGAAAAUGAAGCCUGCUUCCCAUGAGCUGGAAUUCUGAACUCUCAGAGGAGUUUGAUUUUACCUCAUGCAAAGACCCAGAAGUAAUGAUCAGAGAAGGACUGGAGCCAUGAUUGAAGGCUCAAAAGUUGUUGGCUUAGAUAUCCUUGGAGGCCCAAUAUUGCUGGUGGAGUUAUUCAGAGCUGCCUCCUCCUUCUUCGACUGCAUAGGCAAGGGGACCUAUGAUUGCCCUUGUUAUUGGCUUUUUCUGACUGGAUGCUUGGAGAAGAGCCUUCAUUCCCUUGAAACUUUGCUCAGGACACUGGUGGAAGAAGUUGAUGGCAUGGACCUAAGAGAAAGUGUUGAGUACCUGUAUUGCAGCUCACAUAUCAUCCUUAAGUCCUUAGAGUGAGCUGAGGACCCAGCAAGCACUUGAGAGCAAAGGGCAUGGCAUGUUCACAUCCAAGGCCUGAGAGUAACAGCAAGUGAGAUCUGGAAGGGCAGUGUGAAGAGGUUGGUAAGAGCAGGAGUGUUGAGGGUGCCUGUGAGAUAUGACAAGCCCAUAGUACAUGGUAAGCCCAUAAUCCAUGUGGUUUUGCAUUGGUCCCACUGUAAUCGGGGCAUGUUCUUUGUGUUGUCUUCACAGGGUUGCAUUCCCUUUCCAGUAUGGUCCAUGGAAAACAUGCAGAGGAAAUGGCCCCACAGCAUUGGCUGAGUGUUUAUGUCGUCCAACUGAGUCUCCAUCGAACUGUUGUGGUGUUGCUGACUUGCCCUAGGUCACCUGAGUUAAAUGGUAAGGAACAUGGGAAUUGCUGCAUGAAUUCUAGGUGCCCAGGUCUUGGUGGAGCAGGGAACGGCUGCCAUUGAUUAUGUCCAGGCCCUUCGGGACAUGGAGCAUGCCUAGGGCCUCUGGUUUCUCCCAUUUUUGGAGCUUCGGCCCAUUGUUCCCUGGCAGUGGAUUGUCAGUGUCCAGCAGUCCAUUGCUCUCCCCAAAGCCAGAGCAAUCCAGAGUACUGGAACCACUUGAUGCAAUGCACUCCAACGAGCUUGGAUCUAUGAUGAUUCCCAGUCAAACAUUCCUUGGAAAAGCUGAACAAAAUGAGUGAAAACUCUGUACCGCCACUCUCAUCGGAACUGAGGUCCAGCAUCUUGGGUCUCCCAGGUGCUAUGGGCGUCAGGCACAGGCUGCCCAAACACUCCAUUGUUCUUGACUUCUUCGGGCUCUAGCCAGACUCUCCAGAGACAGGUGUGUGCUUGGCCUACUCUGCCAAAAAUCCAUGGUGUAGGACACAGCAGGUCCUUAAGCACUGGUGGCUUGCUCCCUUUGCUGUAGUGGAGAUGCUUGGCAGAUACUCAGUAGGUAGUCAUGCUAGGUCCAAGGAGAGGGCCCCAGCCAUUGUGGAAAGUAGACUGUGAGGCAAAAGUAGCAGUGGCAGUGGCACCAAAUCUUGGCUUUUCACAUGGGAAUAUCAAGCAGUGGAGGCAGGCUUCUCAGAAGCACUUAUAUGAAUUUUAACCCUGUUGCAUUGCUUUAUGUAGUCAAUAGAAUGCAGGCUGCUGGUAGAGUGUAGCUUGACCCAGUAGCAUGUAAACGGGACUGUGUGACUGUUGUCGGUUCAGGUGGUGAACAGAAGGCUCUGUGUCCCUGGCAGCUUGGAAGUUUCCCGGGCGAUUGGCUAGGAAAUAGAGAAGGAGCUAAGCCUUGGAGGUGAUGGCAGGCACCUCACGGGUCAGUUUGCACCACAUUUACACACUUACCUGUGUCUGUAGAUGGAUGAAACUUUGAUGGACUCACUGGGAGCAUGAGACUUGCAGACCUGUGUCUCCAUAGAUUUGUUGAAAUAAUUUUUGUAGGAAUCUCCUCUUUGGUAGGUGCUGUUGCUUUGGAUGUUGUUGAAGGGAUAUCCUUGGUAUAUUUGGACCUUGUUGUCAGCCUCCUUGGCAAGGUCAAAGGGAAAGUCUAGGAACAGUUCUUGCACCCACAGCCUUAGGAGAACCAUCUUGGUGAGGGACCCUCUAUAUUAGAGACCAAGGUGUCAUGGGACCUUUCUUUUCGAUGUUUUGGCCUAACUCUUCUGGAAAGACAAGUUGCUAGUGUGCAUAGGAAGGAGGUUUCAACAGGGCACAUCGUGUUUUGCAAAUCCACCUUGAGAGCCAUGCUCAUGGGAAUCAUCAGGGAGAAAAUAAGUUCUUGGAUGCAGACUGCAUUUGACACACUAAGAUAACUUGAGUCAAGUCGGAUCCUGGCCUGUGAUAGUUCUACACAAUGGGAUUUUCAUUAGUGUGAGAAGCUGAGCAGUAUAGUCUGAGAACUUUUCAUCAGAAGAGAUCAAAGCAGGGGUGGAUGGCCAAAAGCAAUCUCAAGAGAGAGGUGGAAGUCUUCACAACAGACAAAAUGUGCACUGGACAUGUGGACAGAAAUAGGGACUGGCUGCCACAGCAAGGAAUGUCUCAGGGUAAAAGACACACACACACACACACACACACACACACACACACUAACACAGAGAGAGGGAGAGAGA
rnacentral:lncRNA from 1 species